rnacentral:tRNA from 1 species
CAAAAAAUAAUUUAUUUAGAAUUUUAAUUUUGGAGAUUAAGUGUAUAGGAGGAAAUUUAAGAGAAUCUAUUUUUUUGA